rnacentral:rRNA from 1 species
AGUGAACGCUGGCGGCAGGCCUAAUACAUGCAAGUCGAACGACAGCAUAGUAAGAGCUCGCCUUUACCGGUGGCGAGUGACGGACGGGUGAGGCGUACAUCAGCAACUUCUAUUACGGGGAGGACAACGUAGGGAAACUGACGAUACUACCGCAUACGACCUACGGGAGAAAGCAGGAGUUCUUCGCACCUUGCCCGACUGAUUGAGCCGAUGUCGGAUUACCUAGUUGGCAGGGUAACGGCACACCAAGGCAACGAUACGUAGCUGAUCUGAGAGGAUGAUCAGCCACACUGGAACUGAGACACGGUCCAGACUCCUACGGGAGGCAGCAGUAGGGAAUAUUGGGCAAUGGGCGCAAGCCUGAUCCAGCCAUGCCGCGUGGGUGAUGAAGGCCUUCGGGUUGUAAAGCCCUUUUGUUGGGAAAGAAAAGCAGCGGGUUAAUCCCCCGCUGUUCUGACGGUACCCAAAGAGUAAGCACCGGCUAACUUCGUG